CAAUAGCGUAUAUUAAAGUUGUUGCGGUAAAAAAGCUCGUAGUUGGAUUUCUGUUGAGAGCGACCGGUCCAUACCAUGUAUGCGUAUCUGGCUUGCUCUCGGCAUCCUCUCGAUAGACGUUACUGCGCUUGAUUGCGUGGUGCGGAUCUCGGGACUUUUACUUUGAGGAAAUUAGAGUGUUCACGGCAGGCUUUCGCCAGAAUACAUUAGCAUGGAAUAAUACUAUAGGAUCUUGGUUCUAUUUUGUUGGUUUCUAGAAUUGAGAUAAUGAUUAAUAGGGACAAUUGGGGGCAUUCGUGUCAACACGUCAGAGGUGGAAUUCUUGGAUUGUGUUGCGACGAACUACUGCGAAAGCAUUUGCCAAGGAUGUUUUCAUUGA
rnacentral:rRNA from 1 species